rnacentral:rRNA from 1 species
AACGAACGCUGGCGGCAGGCUUAACACAUGCAAGUCGAGCGCCCCGCCAGGGGAGCGGCAGACGGGUGAGUAACGCGUGGGAACGUACCUUUUGGUUCGGAACAACUCCGGGAAACUGGAGCUAAUACCGGAUAAGCCCUAACGGGGAAAGAUUUAUCGCCGAAAGAUCGGCCCGCGUCUGAUUAGCUAGUUGGUGAGGUAACGGCCCACCAAGGCGACGAUCAGUAGCUGGUCUGAGAGGAUGAUCAGCCACACUGGGACUGAGACACGGCCCAGACUCCUACGGGAGGCAGCAGUGGGGAAUAUUGGACAAUGGGCGCAAGCCUGAUCCAGCCAUGCCGCGUGAGUGAUGAAGGCCUUAGGGUUGUAAAGCUCUUUUGUCCGGGAAGAUAAUGACUGUACCGGAAGAAUAAGCCCCGGCUAACUUCGUG